AAGGAUCAUUACAGAGUUCAUGCCCUCACGGGUAGAUCUCCCACCCUUGUAUAUCUAUCGAUGUUGCUUUAGCGGGCCACAGGCCCUGCCCGUACCGGCCCCGGCCGGUCGUGCCCGCUAGAGAACCCCAAACUCUGAAUGUUAGUGUCGUCUGAGUACUAUAAAAUAGUUAAAACUUUCAACAACGGAUCUCUUGGUUCUG
rnacentral:misc_RNA from 1 species